rnacentral:rRNA from 1 species
UGGGGAAUAUUGCACAAUGGGCGCAAGCCUGAUGCAGCCAUGCCGCGUGUGUGAAGAAGGCCUUCGGGUUGUAAAGCACUUUCAGCGGGGAGGAAGGCGUUAAGGUUAAUAACCUUGGCGAUUGACGUUACCCGCAGAAGAAGCACCGGCUAACUCCGUGCCAGCAGCCGCGGUAAUACGGAGGGUGCAAGCGUUAAUCGGAAUUACUGGGCGUAAAGCGCACGCAGGCGGUCUGUCAAGUCGGAUGUGAAAUCCCCGGGCUCAACCUGGGAACUGCAUUCGAAAGUGGCAGGCUAGAGUCUUGUAGAGGGGGGUAGAAUUCCAGGUGUAGCGGUGAAAUGCGUAGAGAUCUGGGGGAAUACCGGUGGCGAAGGCGGCCCCCUGGACAAAGACUGACGCUCAGGUGCGAAAGCGUGGGGAGCAAACAGG